rnacentral:rRNA from 1 species
GUCCACGCCCUAAACAAUGCAUACUAGAUAUUGGCAGUAUCGACCCUGUCAGUGUCGCUUAAAAGUUAACACAUUAAGUAUGCCGCCUGGGGAGUACGGUCGCAAGACUAAAACUCAAAGGAAUAGACGGGGACCCGCACAAGCAGUGGAGCAUGUGGUUUAAUUCGAUGGUAAACGAGGAACCUUACCUGGGCUCAACUACUAGCUGCAUAUCGCCAGAAAUGGCUUUAGCCUUCGAGGGUGCUAGAUAGGUGCUGCAUGGUUGCCGU